rnacentral:rRNA from 1 species
GACGUAGGUGGCGAGCGUUGUUCGGAAUCACUGGGCAUAAAGCGCACGUAGGCGGCCAAGUCAGUCAGGUGUGAAAUACCUCGGCUCAACCGAGGAACUGCGCCUGAUACUGCUUGGCUUGAGGUCCGGAGGGGAGAGUGGAAUUCCCGGUGGAGCGGUGAAAUGCGUAGAGAUCGGGAAGAACGCCGGCGGCGAAAGCGACUCUCUGGUCGGAAUCUGACGCUGAGGUGCGAAAGUUAGGGGAGCAAACGGG